rnacentral:rRNA from 1 species
CUUUACUGUAACUUGAAAUUGAAAUUGGACUUUACUUGCGCAGUAUAGGUGGGAGGCGUUGAAUUUAUUCUUGCGGGAAUUUAUGAGCCAUCAGUGAGAUACCACUCUGGUAAUGUUAGAUUUCUAACUUUGUAUCAUAAUCUGGUCAAAGGACAGUUUCAGGCGGGCAGUUUGACUGGGGCGGUCGCCUCCUAAAUGGUAACGGAGGCGUACAAAGGUUUCCUCUGAACGUGUAGAAAUCGUAUCUAGAGUAUAAAGGCAUAAGGAAGCUUGACUGUGAGACUUACAAGUCGAGCAGGGACGAAAGUCGGUCUUAGUGAUCUGACGGUGCUGAGUGGAAAGGCCGUCACUCAACGGAUAAAAGUUA